rnacentral:rRNA from 1 species
UACGUAGGGUGCAAGCGUUAAUCGGAAUUACUGGGCGUAAAGCGUGCGCAGGCGGUUUUGUAAGUCUGACGUGAAAUCCCCGGCUCAACCUGGGAAUUGCGUUGGAGACUGCAAGGCUAGAAUCUGGCAGAGGGGGGUAGAAUUCCGACGUGUGAGCAGUGAAAUGCGUAGAGAUAGUGGAGAACACCGAUGGCGAAGGCAGGCCCCUGGGAUCAAGAUU